rnacentral:rRNA from 1 species
GAUCCGGCAGGCAGAGGCAGGGGCGCACGCACAAUCUCUAUUCUACAGGAGAACGGUCACUGGGCCUUGCCCCGAUCGAGAGCGGUACCUCGACGGCGACAGACGCGGCGCGCGCGUACGGCGGCGACGGAAGGGGGCGUCGGGGUGAAGAUAGAGGGCGGAGGUUACCCAUCGGUGAGGGGUGUCGGCGCGCGCGGGAGACGUGCGGGCGUCCUUGUUCUUGGGCUCCCCGCUGCGGCGCCUCGGGUUUCAGUAGUGGUAGCCAGCCGGGCCCUUCUUCUCGUUCGCCGCGCCGCUGUUCUUCGUCCUAGUCGUCGUCGAGGGGCGCCUGGUUCUUCUACUUCUGCUGCUCCUCCUCCUACUGCUCCUCCUGCUCUCCCUGCACCGCUAGGGCCUCCACCACUGCUUGGCCUACUACGCCGCACACCCCCGCAGCCACCCCGAGGGCGACCGCGACCCCGACCGGAAGAAGGGCCGGAAGAUGAUGGACUUCUUCCACCGCUUCCACCUGCACGGUUCGAAGUAAGGGAUGCCCGACAGGAAGCACAAGAAGCCCCGCCGCGACCGGCCGCACUCGAUGCCGUAGCACAGGCGGUCGACCCUGGGGCGGUCCCUCCCUAGGGACGAGCCGACCUUGCUCCGGGCGGCGUUGACCGGGCAGAAGACCCUCAGGAAGGCCCCGUGGGGAGGAGGAGGCUCGGGAGGAGCGGCCCCUGCUACUACUAUCCGACACCACCAUUGAGCCAAUUCGAAUUAAUGAACAAAGGGAGUCAAAGAAGAAGAGCGACAUGCGGACAUGCAUCGACAUCAACAAGAACACUCGCGCGCACACACAUUUUGUUACUCUAAAACAACGGGUUAGUGAGUUGUCAUUCUCUGCCUCGUCGUAUCGUUCAUCUUUGGUAAGUAAUGGCGUAUUAGGUUUCGUAUAUUAAUGAAAGUUUUAUUGAGAUCAGUUUUCCUUCUUUGUAGGUGACGAUAACGACAAUGUAUAGUUAAGGGUGCCCUACGUGGGUUGCUCCGAGCUUUGUCGUUUCCGCCAGGACAUGGCGUUUCCCAACACGUAUUCUAGUCCUCCGAAUAUAACUAUACUAGGUUGCCGCAGAACAAAGGGGCCACAGAUGGAGAUCCACACUCGGUAGUAGCUAUCACGGUUCUACCAAUGAUUAUUUAUCAUUACGACUACGACGUCAUGAAGUAACUACUAGUUUACUACCCUCACCCCCACACUACAGGACCGAGCGAAACAGGUCUGAGAAGUUCCCGAGUAGUAGGUUCUUGACCGAUUUCGUUAUCGUCGAAACUGGUUUCCAGACGUAAAGCGAUACAGCUUUCCGAUGGCCGAUCACUACUAAGACCGAAGUCUAACAGACUACCACCACUUGUUCGCUGUCCGGUGUCGAUCAACUACUAAAGUUGAAGGUAACGAGAAGCCUAAGUCUCAACAAAGUAGAGAGUACAAUUUACAUAGACGCAGCUCUAACAUGUUCUUAGACGGUCAAGAAGUUAAAAGUAUUCUCAACUUAAGUACUAGAGUAACAGGUCCACUCAUCGAAUCGUAAUAUUACAACGUAUGGAACGACCUUGCUUGGUCGGGAAUUUUACGAAGGCCGACCAUCACAAACGGUGGGGCUCAACUAAGAAUGUCUAUGUAAAAGGACGAGAUUCAAAGAAGUAGACUGUCGUUAACUCCAGUGAUUGAAGUCAAAACCGAUGCCGGAUGCAAGAGGUAAAUAGCCUCUCGAAGUUCUCUACAUCACAGUAAACUGUAUAGAAGUAAGUGUCUGACGUGGGCCGAAAUCCCGGUGGCGCGAGUAGGAGAUACAGCGGUGGUGGGACCUUGUGUGACGAAUCCAGGUUUUCUGUUCCGAUGGAGCUGC